AUCUCCUGAGGUCCCUUCCAACUCUCAUUUUCUAUGAUUGUAUGAAAGUAGGGCUAUUUUAAUGUAUACUGGUGUGUGAUGAUCCCCUAAUGGGCUGUUAUGCUGGCCAGGGAAGCACCAGUCCAGUCACACUCGCUGUGCAGGGCUGUUCAGUCCGCUCUGUGCAUCACCAGGGCGCUGGAUCAUGAAGCAAGUGGAUCAGACAGGGCCACGGUGAGGAUUGUGUGCAGGUCCAGAGGGUCUACUGUGCAUUUUGUUCUGCCUGGUUAAGUUUGAAUAAGGAAGUCUAAGACCAUGUCUGUUAUGCAAAGGGGACAUGGGCAGCCUGACCAAACAGCCUAGAGCCAGAAGUUAGGGGAUCGGGAAUAGGCAGGUCGGGUCUGUAAUGGAGCAAGAUGUAGGUAGAUGGUCUCAGGGGGUAGAGCAAGCAGGAGGCUGGGGUCCAGAACCACGGCACUAGCCAGGGGUUGUGGAGCAAGCGGCCGUAGGGACCAGGAUGUGGGCCGUCACCAACCUAAGCCAUCGGUCAGAAGACAGGGGCCAGGAGCAAAUGGGCCCGGGCCGGAGUCUGGAAUAGAGGCAGCGGGGAUCGAGUCAGAAGGCAGCAAGCAGGACCUGGAAAACUAGGAGUCAGGAGCUGGAGGGGUGUUUGCUGGUCAGUGGAAGGACUGCUGGAGCCAUGCUGGUGCAGGUAAGGGGCCAGCUGGAAGCAGUUAGGCCAUUAGGAGCCAGGCUCACUCAGCUCAUCAAGUCCAGCUGGGGCUCAUCAGCCCAUCCGCUGCCCUAACUCCCAACAGCCGGGAGCAAGGGAAGCCAGAAGAAACCCACGUACUUACCAUCCCUCUUCUUGUCUCUCUGUCCACAAUGGUGAGGUAUUUCUUUCCCCCCAGUCUUAGGAUACCCUUGCAUUAGGAAAUGCGGGUUGGAAGGGACAGCACAUCUAGUGCAACCCCUGCUCCAAGCAGGACCAGCCCCAGCUACAUCAUCCCAGACGAGGCUUUGUCUCCAUCCUUGGAGGUUUUGAAGACUGGAGUAGACUGCACCACCUCUCUGGGAUGUCUGCGAUGUCCAUGCCGCUCUGCUCGGCAGGUCACUGGCCGUGUUCCCGGGGAAAGGCCAUCUUUGCCAGGUCCUGGACUUCACCGUCUCUGGCAUAGCUGGGUUGCUCGCUGGCCUUCUCUCCCUGUCAGAAGGAGAUUAAUACAGAGGCUGCCUCCUCCAGUCUUGCUAAUAAAUAUUCACUGAGACAUCCUACAGAGAGAUUUGAUCCUGAUUCUGGAAGCAUGCAUGCCAGCCUCACUGCGAACCGUGGGGAUUCGGGUCAGCAGAAGCAGUGCAUGGAGAGAGGUCCAAGUGCUGGCUGCGCUGCCUCCGAGCAAGGGGCUGGCAAGAUGGACAAAGGAUGGAGGAAACUGAGGCACAAAGAAAUCACCUACGAUUGCAGCGGGAGUCUGUGGCUCAGCCAGGAAGGAAACGGGGUCUCCUAAAUCCCAGGACAGCUCUUCGGCGAGACCAGCCCAGCGUGAUGAUCCUUCGUGCCCCAGCCACGUGGUAAGUCCGCAGGUGCCUGCUCUUUGAAUGGGUUCCUUGAAUUUUGCCGACAAAUCCAAGAGAAAAUAAGGAGAUGUGCAGUGGGAAGCAUUGGGAACCAAAGCGAGCUUUCUCCACUUGGCCUUGCAGCCUCCGCACGUGAGCUUCAACCCAGGUCAUCGGGGCGGGGUCUGAGGGCCCCGCAGUCCCUGGCUAGAGGGGUCUGAGGUGCAGAUGGAGUAGGCGCCCGUCUCUCCCAAGGCAGGCCCUGAACACAAGUGUACUUGUGCCAUCGUAUCAGUUCUUUGGUGCUGGCCAGCUUUGCCAUCAGUGGGUGCAGCAGGACAUUUUAAGCAUGGUUGA